CUCGACCUUAACCGAAGCGUUCGGGUCCGGCUGUCACAUUCGUGGCGUACCGAAUGCUCGUCUCUCGUGGCGGCGACGGCGGCGGCGUAACGCGUUAAUGAAAAUGGCAACGCGUCGCGACGCCAUGUGGCAGCCUCAACGGAAUACGUACGGCCGCAAAUUGCGCUGCUUUAUCAAUCUGAAAUAACAUCGGCGCGGAAUAAUUAGCGACGACGCGAAACUUACGAGGACUUCAUUGACCAAUGGAAGGAUCAUGUUACGCUGGCUGACAUAUAGGCGGAUGUAUAUCUGAGAGAGAGAAAGAGAGAGAGAGAGAGAGAGAGAGAGAGAGAGAGAGAGAGAGAAAUAGUGUUCAAGAGAUUACAGAGAUUUCAUCUUGAUAAGCAACAUAUUUUCAGUUCGCAAGCAGAGGAUAGCGAAAGAAUUAAUUCGCAAAGCAAAUCACAUAGCACAUGCAGCAAUUUAGAAAUACACAGGGAUUCUUCAAAAUAGUUCAAUGAAAAAUAUCUCUGAAAAAAAACAGUGCAUUUAGUCUGUUAAGUCUGCUGCAAAAUUGUGUUAAUAAAAGAAUAUUGUGAUGAAGAAAUAUAUUU